UUGACAGUAGUUGUAUCGGACAGAUUGAUAUGUCAGAAGAUAAGCAUGACAGCAUCCUUGGUUCCUAAUAGUUAUCUUUAUAGACCAUUAAAUUGGAUCAUUACACCAUUAAUAGGUCAUACAUCAUUGGAAGCUGUUCAUAAAGCCAUUGAAAGUAUACCUGGAGGAGAUCAGUAUUUCACUCAGCUCCUAGCAGCAGUACAACUCUGUAUGACUACAUCUUAGGCACAGCAUUAGCAGGAGUCAUAUAUUAUUAAGUCAGCAGCAUAAAUGUGCAAAUGUCAAUGCGCUUUUGAUGUCAUGAAAUAGUUGUUGUUUUUUUAUGUGUGAAAAACUUAGGGGAUAAAAGGGGAAAAAACUAAUUUUUAUUAUCUAUCAUAAAAGCACUAUGGAGUUAUUAUUUUGGAAUCCAUCUCAUUGAAAAGUAAUUUUUCAAUAAGACUUUCUAAACAAAACUGCACUCUUACACUUUUCAGGUUGCUCUCUAGACUGAGAGUGUUAUUUAAAUGUCACAGACAAAAUAUUUCAUCUUUUGUUUAAUAGAUUGAGAUAAUCUGUCAAUUUAAAAAAGUUACUUUAUAAUUUUUUGUUUAAAGUUUCUUCAAA
rnacentral:sRNA from 1 species